AUGAACGCUAGCGGCAGGCCUAAUACAUGCAAGCCGAACGGCAAGUUUUGUAGCAAUACAAGACCUAGAGUGGCGUAAGGGUGCGUAACACGUAUGCAAUCUGCCCUGUACAGGAGGAUAGCUCGGGGAAACUCGAAUUAACACUCCAUAAUAUCACGAGAAGGCAUCUUUUUGUGAUUAAAACUGAGGUGGUACAGGAUGAGCAUGCGCAUGAUUAGCUAGUUGGCGGGGUAACGGCCCACCAAGGCGAUGAUCAUUAGGGGAACUGAGAGGUUGAUCCCCCACACUGGCACUGAGAUACGGGCCAGACUCCUACGGGAGGCAGCAGUAGGGAAUAUUGGACAAUGGGUGCGAGCCUGAUCCAGCCAUGCCGCGUGCAGGAAGAAGGCUUUCUGAGUUGUAAACUGCUUUUGCCAGAGGAUAAAAAGCCCAUGCGUGGGAAAUUGAAGGUACCUGGUGAAUAAGCCACGGCUAACUACGUGCCAGCAGCCGCGGUAAUACGUAGGUGGCAAGCGUUGUCCGGAUUUAUUGGGUUUAAAGGGUGCGUAGGCGGUUUUAUAAGUCAGUGGUGAAAUCCGGCAGCUCAACUGUCGAUGUGCCAUUGAUACUGUAGAACUUGAGUACUAAUGAGGUAGGCGGAAUUGACGGUGUAGCGGUGAAAUGCUUAGAUAUCGUCAAGAACACCGAUAGCGAAGGCAGCUUACUAAGCAGUAACUGACGCUGAGGCACGAAAGUGUGGGGAUCAAACAGGAUUAGAUACCCUGGUAGUCCACACUGUAAACGAUGAUUACUCGAUGUUGGCGAUACACAGCCAGCGUCUUAGCGAAAGCGAUAAGUAAUCCACCUGGGGAGUACGCCGGCAACGGUGAAACU
rnacentral:rRNA from 1 species